GGGAUAAACAGCAGAAUCUCGGCACGCUGAAGGGAAGGACCAUCAGUCAGGAAAUUCGAUCGGUUUAGUGAAGGAGAGGAGGCCGGCCUGGAGGAAGGAGCGGGGGCCCUGAGGGACCUGGCCGCCCAGGAGCCUCUGGCGACAGUCGGUGGGCCGGGUCGCCCCGUUAUCAGACGCUAAAGCAGAAGGGAGGGAGGUACUUCUGCUUCUUCCCUCACACAUCCGUCAGUUCCAGGCGAGUGAGUCUCAGAGGGCAGCCCAAGGCUCCACGUCCCGAGAACUCGGGAAAGACGAUGCUCGGGUGCUCCCCUCCCGCACCCCCAAAAAAGCCCUGCAGCGACCGGAGGGAGGCGGAAGUGAGCAGAGGAACCUCUGCAAAUAAGGAAGUUAGUCCUUUCCAUGGCUUCCCUCACCUACGUCUGUUUUGACAUCCGAUCUCUUGGGAUUUGGAAAAACAGCCAAAAUCAGCGAUCACAGUUUUAUUAGG
rnacentral:lncRNA from 1 species